rnacentral:rRNA from 1 species
UGAAUACGAGACGCUAAGGCGUCGAAGUAGUGUAUGUCAUACUUCCAAGAAAAGCUUGCACUGUCAUAGAUAAAAAACGCCUGUACCAUAACCGACACAGGUGGGUAGGUAGAGUAUACUAAGGGGCGCGAGAUAACUCUCUCUAAGGAACUCGGCAAAAUAACUCCGUAACUUCGGGAGAAGGAGUGCCUUAUUCGUAAGGUUGCAAUAACAAGAUCCAAGCAACUGUUUAUCAAAAACACAGGUCUCCGCUAAGUCGUAAGACGAUGUAUGGGGGCUGACGCCUGCCCAGUGCCAGAAGGUUAAAGAAGUUGGUUAGCAAUUGCGAAGCUGAUAACUGAAGCCCUGGUGAACGGCGGCCGUAACGAUAACGGUCCUAAGGUAGCGAAAUUCCUUGUCGGGUAAGUUCCGACCCGCACGAAAGGCGUAAUGAUUUGGAUACUGUCUCGGAGAGGGGCUCGGUGAAAUAGACUUGUCUGUGAAGAUGCGGACUACCUGCACCAGGACAGAAAGACCCUAUGAAGCUUUACUGUAACUUGAAAUUGAAAUUGGACUUUAUUCGCGCAGUAUAGGUGGGAGGCGUUGAUUAUAAUCUUGUGGGAUUAUUGGAGCCAUCAGUGAGAUACCACUCUUGUAAUGUUAGAUUUCUAACUUUGAAUCAUUAUCUGGUCAAAGAACAGUUUCAGGCGGGCAGUUUGACUGGGGCGGUCGCCUCCUAAACGGUAACGGAGGCGUACAAAGGUUUCCUCUGAACGGUUAGAAAUCGUAUCUAGAGUGUAAAGGCAUAAGGAAGCUUGACUGUGAGACCUACAAGUCGAGCAGGGACGAAAGUCGGUCUUAGUGAUCUGACGGUACUGAGUGGAAAGGCCGUCACUCAACGGAUAAAAGUUACUCUAAGGAUAACAGGCUGAUCUCCCCCAAGAGUUCACAUCGACGGGGAGGUUUGGCACCUCGAUGUCGGCUCAUCGCAUCCUGGGGCGGUAGUACGUCCCAAGGGUUGGGCUGUUCGCCCAUGAAAGCGGUACGCGAGCUGGGUUCAGAACGUCGUGAGACAGUUCGGUCCAUAUCCGGUGUAGGCGUUAGAAUAUUGAGAGGAGCCUUCUUUAGUACGAGAGGACCGAGAAGGACAUACCUCUGGUGUACCAGUUAUCGUGCCAACGGUAAACGCUGGGUAGCUAUGUAUGGAGUGGAUAACCGCUGAAAGCAUCUAAGUGGGAAGCCCACCUCAAGAUAAGUAUUCUC